GACGAACGCUGGCGGCGUGCCUAACACAUGCAAGUCGAGCGGGGUUGAGGCGAGAGGUAACUCGAGCUUCUACCUAGCGGCGGACGGGUGAGUAACGCGUGGGCAACCUGCCUCAAGGUUUGGGAUACAGCCCGAAAGGGCUGCUAAUACCGGAUAUGCCUAUGGCCUCGCAUGGGGCUAUGAGCAAAGGGGAAACCCGCCUUGAGAUGGGCCCGCGUCCCAUCAGCUAGUUGGUGAGGUAACAGCUCACCAAGGCGACGACGGGUAGCCGGCCUGAGAGGGUGACCGGCCACACUGGGACUGAGACACGGCCCAGACUCCUACGGGGGGCAGCAGUGGGGGAUCUUGCACAAUGGGCGAAAGCCUGAUGCAGCGACGCCGCGUGAGCGAAGAAGGCCUUCGGGUUGUAAAGCUCUGUCUGGAGGGACGAACAAAAUGACGGUACCUCCGGAGGAAGCCACGGCUAACUACGUG
rnacentral:rRNA from 1 species